GUCCCCUUCGUCUAGAGGUCAGGACACCGCCCUUUCACGGCGGUAACAGGGGUUCGAAUCCCCUAGGGGACGCCA
rnacentral:tRNA from 1 species